AAAGAAACCAACAGGGAUUGCCCCAGUAACGGCGAGUGAAGCGGCAACAGCUCAAAUUUGAAAUCUGGCCCCCAGGGUCCGAGUUGUAAUUUGCAGAGGAUGCUUUUGGCGAGGCGCCGCCCGAGUUCCCUGGAACGGGACGCCACAGAGGGUGAGAGCCCCGUCUGGCUGGCCGCCGAGCCUCUGUAAAGCUCCUUCGACGAGUCGAGUAGUUUGGGAAUGCUGCUCAAAAUGGGAGGUAUAUGUCUUCUAAAGCUAAAUAUUGGCCAGAGACCGAUAGCGCACAAGUAGAGUGAUCGAAAGAUGAAAAGCACCUUGAAAAGAGGGUUAAAUAGUACGUGAAAUUGUUGAAAGGGAAGCGCUUGUGACCAGACUUGGGCGCGGCGGAUCAUCCGGGGUUCUCCCCGGUGCACUUCGCCGCGUCCAGGCCAGCAUCAGUUCGUCGCGGGGGAAAAAGGCUUCGGGAACGUGGCUCCCCUGGGAGUGUUAUAGCCCGUUGCACAAUACCCUGCGGUGGACUGAGGACCGCGCAUCUGCAAGGAUGCUGGCGUAAUGGUCACCAGCGACCCGUCUUGAAACACGGACCAAGGAGUCGUCUUCGUAUGCGAGUGUUCGGGUGUCAAACCCCUACGCGUAAUGAAAGUGAACGCAGGUGAGAGCUUCGGCGCAUCAUCGACCGAUCCUGAUGUUCUCGGAUGGAUUUGAGUAAGAGCAUACGGGGCCGGACCCGAAAGAAGGUGAACUAUGCCUGUAUAGGGUGAAGCCAGAGGAAACUCUGGUGGAGGCUCGCAGCGGUUCUGACGUGCAAAUCGAUCGUCAAAUAUGGGCAUGGGGGCGAAAGACUAAUCGAACCUUCUAGUAGCUGGUUUCCGCCGAAGUUUCCCUCAGGAUAGCAGUGUUGAACUCAGUUUUAUGAGGUAAAGCGAAUGAUUAGGGACCCGGGGGCGCUAUAUUGCCUUCAUCCAUUCUCAAACUUUAAAUAUGUAAGAAGCCCUUGUUGCUUAAUUGAACGUGGGCAUUCGAAUGUAUCAAC
rnacentral:rRNA from 1 species